CCUACGGGUGGCAGCAGUCGAGAAUCAUUCACAAUGGGGGAAACCCUGAUGGUGCGACGCCGCGUGGGGGAAUGAAGGUCUUCGGAUUGUAAACCCCUGUCAUGUGGGAGCAAAUUAAAAAGAUAGUACCACAAGAGGAAGAGACGGCUAACUCUGUGCCAGCAGCCGCGGUAAUACAGAGGUCUCAAGCGUUGUUCGGAAUCACUGGGCGUAAGGCGUGCGUAGGCUGUUUCGUAAGUCGUGUGUGAAAGGCGCGGGCUCAACCCGCGGACGGCACAUGAUACUGCGAGACUAGAGUAAUGGAGGGGGAACCGGAAUUCGCGGUGUAGCAGUGAAAUGCGUAGAUAUCGAGAGGAACACUCGUGGCGAAGGCGGGUUCCUGGACAUUAACUGACGCUGAGGCACGAAGGCCAGGGGAGCGAAAGGGAUUAGAUACCCUGGUAGUC
rnacentral:rRNA from 1 species